GAUUGAAGCUUGUGCCCUCGUGCUUUCAGCGAAAGUUUUCGUCCUAAAAACUUUCAUUAUUUUUGUAGAAUCUUAUCCCAAUAUAACCUCUAAUUUUUGGCAAAUGGACGACAAUGUGUUUGUAACUCCUUAAAGAAAGUUGUGGAUUGCAUUUGUGGUCGAGAUUCGAUGUUUUUCAAGCUUAUCUUGGCUCAAACUUUAUGUUGUAUUUCACACUCCAUCUUGGUAUAAAUGUUGCAUCGGCUGCAUCGAUUAGUUUAGAAAUUGCUUGGAAUUCCUCUGGUUUCUCUUCUUUAAGGUAUUUGGGAUUGUUUUUGUGUUGAUAUAUUGUGAUGUAUGAAAGAUGUGUCAAAUUAUAUUGCUUUUUAAUACAGGGUUUUAUAAUAUUGAGAUUUUGAAUUGACAAUUCACCUUUAAAAUAUUUAUUUAAUACGUUUUCGUAGCGCUUUGCAUUGUGGUUAUAGUGGUAUCAUUCAAGAUGGCUUAUUUUUUGUCCUGGCCCGUGCAAGAACUAAAAACUAGGGUCAGGUGCAUGAUAGCCAACAACAAAAUAUUUGCGAAAACAUUCAAUAUUUUUAUUCGAGGCUGCUAUCCAGACUGCAUUUUCUCCACCACGUGCGGAAGAAGAUCUUCCGCGCGCAUUUUUUAUGCUUUCUAUAUAUUUACUAUUAAAUUUUCGAAAUCUUUCUUGUGCAAUUUCCAAACUUUGCAGUCUGGGCUGCUAUCUUUAUCAGUGAUACCAGUAUAAGCACAAUGCAAAGCGCUACGGAAAUGUAAUAACAGGAAUUGUCUAUUGGUUUUAAAUUUUAAACAAGAUCCGUAGUUUGGAAUAAGGCCACUUCAAGUUAAUCUUUACUUUCUGGUCCGGCUUACCUUUGUUUAAAAAAGGGCAGGGAGUUAGGACAUAAAUACAAUUGUGGCUUUGCUCACAUUUUUGUGGUCCUUCUUGUCCCUUUUCAUGUAAAAUAAAAAGUAGGGCACAAUUGGGUGCAUUGUAGUUCAGGGCCUGAAAUAACAGCCGAUCAAUGAUCGACAGGAAAUUGUUUUUUGAUCGGCAAAGAAGCAAUGUGGUCAUUCGUCUUGAUCGGCAAGAAAUAUAUUUGGCCAUUGUCUGAAAAACAUGCUUACCUGUAUGCGGUAAAAGACAAAUAAAAGUAAUUUCAUAAACUCAUUGAUAAUUCAUGAGGAAAACACAAAGAAAAAUCAUAAGCAUGUCGUAUCUUUAUAUGUGAUAGAGAUUUCCCUUGAUUUACAUAAACUUUAACUUUGAUUUUCUCAACUUACACAAUAUAUUUCUUGAAAAUUACUUCGCCAAUGAACUUACUAGAUCAAUCUACUCAGGGGCAGUGGCGUAACUACUAUGGGCUUGGACCGGUUGAACCCUGGGGCCCCCAACCCCAAUGGGUCGUUCCAGAAAAGAUCCAUACCCCCUACGGAGGAAAUUUUUGCUGUCCGAAGGGGGAGGGAGCUAAAAUGUCUUAGGAUGUGGAUAUGUUUGUCUGAAGGUUUGAGACUGUGAAAAAGCUAUGUGAUCGGCGAUUAUAAUGAGCACGCAAUUUUUAUCAUCUAUAUGUAGCUCUUGAACACCGGAACGUUUAUGUAACAGCAAAAAUUAUACGUCCACGUAACUUGUAAGCAAAAUAAGCGGCCCACUUUUGCAUGCAUGGCCACCAAAAACUAACUCGCUGUAACAGCGUAUCCUGUCGAAAAUUGACACGCUUUAUCGAAAAUGUAUCUAUCGAAAAUUGACACGCUUUAUUUAUAUAGUUUGUAGUUUUCGUUCGUAUAUAUAAGUUUGAUUUAUUCAAGUGUUAAAAACAAUAGUUAUUAAACUGUUGCUCGAAUUAAGAGACUGCUAUGUGAACUGAACUCAAAACAAUUUGUUUUAGUAUAUAGUCAAUAAAGCUUCCUUGCAAGAUGCGUGUCUAGAAAAUAGAAAUGGCUUUCAUAUUAAGGGCGAGGUUGAGGAAUGCAGUAAUACUAAAAAAUGCAUUAACAUGUAUAAGUAAAUAUAGCAACGCUUGUCAAUCAGUCGCAAGUUACAUCGAAUUUCAGUUCAAAUUUUACUUGAACGAAUUUCGAAGUGAAUUUCCGCAAAUUAUCCGACAAAACCUACCACGUGUUUGUGUUCGCAUGUCACAAGAAGCCGCCAAGUGUUCCGCCACGCCGGAACUAUUUGAAAACAGCAUAGAAAAGUCACAAUAAGCCAUCACUAAUUCACUCUACGCUGGAGCGAAAUCGUUUGAAAACUUUCACGUCACUUUUGCCGUAACAAUUUGAGCACGGUUUCUAAACGGAGCACGGUUUCUAAACGGAGCGAGGUGAAAACGGCGGAGCGCUUGAUAGCUUCAUGUGAACACAAACGUGUAAACUCGAAUGCUUUUCAGUUAAAUUUCUUGGGUCUAUUUGAAAUAUUUUGGGUUUACACGAGUGCUACUUCGAUUUGUAAACAAACUGUAAUGGCGGUAGUGUGAACACAUGUAAAUUCUGCCCGCAUUAGUUCGCUCGCACGUAGUGUGAACGUAGUCAAAUUUUCAGUGAUGUUUUCAAACGGCGAGGUAGCCUUUAGAUGAACCAUUCAAGGAUGUCCGAAGGGGGGGGGGAGGGGGUUAUUUUCAAUUUCGUAGAGAUGAGUCGAUCACUAAAAUUGCCGAUUAGCCGAUCUGAUUAAUCGAUGGCUGACUAACGACGUAUAAUCGACCAAUUACUCGGCCAAAGCCGAUUAUUUCUGCAUAUAUAAUUGCUCCAUGUCUGGCUCAAGUUACAAAUUAAAUUUGAUAUAUAUUAAUAUUAACUCACUAUAGCUGAUGUACACCAACGUUUCUAAAGAUGAUUGUUAAUUACUCGUUAAGCACCAGCGUUCUCCCCUUGACAAGUAAAAUCGUCUGGCGUUAGACAGAGUAAAAUACUAAAGUAGGGUGCAUCAGGAUGCAAUGCGACUCAAUGGGUUAAACCUUAAGGCAAACUUCAUGCGAACAUUUUGAAUGCAUGUGAGUGUUAUUUAUUUAAAGCCCACAAAUAUUCACCGGACGCGAUUCGAUAACACAGCGGUCAACAAUAAACUGGAAAUCGUGCCGUGUCGAGAAUUUUAAAGAAAUCCCACAUACUGCUCUUUUUAGCCAUACUCUAUUGAAAGGCCAAAAUGCAGGAUAUUGUGAAAACUUAUUGUCAGAGGCAGUGCUUCGAUUACAUAGAUUGUUUAUAAUGUAGGAAGAUGUGAAAAGGUGUUAAUAGUGACAUGUACGUUUGCGGUGUGUAUCAUAUAUCACAAAGCUUACAAACAUUGAAACAUUAAAAUUUGGAAUACACAUGUUUUAUUUGAUUAUUUUAUUAUUCCAUCUUCAACUUUACAAAUUAAUUUCUUAAAAGAAAUAAGAGAACUUAUUUCUCUCAACUUGAUAGAACAAAAACAGCUAUUGCUGCAUAUUAUACAUGCCCAUCUAGGUGUCUUCACUUAUCACAAAUGGAUUACCAGUUCUAUUUUUGUCUAUUAUCAUUGUCAAGUUUUUUUCUUUGUGAGACUGAUAUGUCAUCCACAUUUGCGUUUCAAUAAAAACAGUUAAUAUGCACGCAAUUAAAAACAUUCAAGUCACAAAAACAAAAGGCAUUACUUAUUUACUAUUAGAAAUAUAAAAUUUUGAAAUAAUCGGCAGACAGCCAAUUAUUUUUAAUAAUCGGCCUAUUAUUGGCUGGUUAAUCAGAAAAACAGAUUAAUCGGCUCAUUUCUAAUGGGGGCCUUCAGGCUGUAGAGCAAAAACAUUGGCAGGGUCUGGGUCUCUGAUAUGUUAGAAUGUUGUUUUCUGACCAUCAGAAUUCUGAAAAAUUGGGCUCUGUUCCUAUUAUCUGGCUAAGUGGGAGACAACAUUUGGCAGUAUGUCCCACCCUAUCCAUGUACAUCAAUAGGUUAACCAAACUAUUUUGGCAAUGUAUCUUGUUAACACAUUAUACCAGAGCUUGAAAUAACGUUCCUGAUCACAGUGGUCGCAGAUUGGGACUUUUACAGAUCAAAUAAAAAUCUGGCUGAUCAGGAACAUUUGUCCGAAUUUUCUUGAAAAAAAAUUCUAAAUGUGCCAGUUGAAUACACAUCUCAAUAGGACAGGGCUGUACACAGGAUUUUUUUCACCAGGGGGUAGUAAGGCCUACAUGCCAAAAAAGUUCCAGAUAUCAAAAUAAUAAUUAAUAAUGACAUUCUAAAAGUCAUAAAUAUACACCCCCAGGGCAUUAGAGUUGUGCGGUUCCAAAAAUUUUAUCUUGGUUCCGGUUUUGGUUCUUUUGGAACAAAAAAACCUCGGUUCAGUUAUUUUCAAAAAAGAACAGUACAAAAGUACAAAUGUAAAACACAUUUAUGUAUGUUAAAACAUUUAUGUAUUGUAUAAAUCUCUGAAUAUUUUAAAAGAACAAUUGGAAUUUAUUUAUAAAGAUGAAAUAUUUCUUACUUUUAAAAGAAAAUUAAAGCAAGUUCACAACAAUAACUAUCACAACUAAAAUAUCAACUAUUUGAGCACUUAGUACAGUGCAUAUUGUACACAAAGAGCACAAUCUUGUUAUUUUCCAAACAUUUCAACCUACAAUCAGGUGGGCGUUUAGCGGGCAUUAAAUGGGAAAUUAAAACCGAAACUACCGGUUCUUUUGCAUAUAAUUUUUCGGUGCUGAAAAAAGUACCAGAAGAACCAAAUUUUUUUUCCCGCACAGCUCUACAGGGCAUGCUCUAGCCAGUGUGGCCGGCUCUAUAAUUGAAAGAGAGCCUGCCCGGAAGCGCUAGUAAAAUUGAUCACUCUCUGCAGGCAAUUUAUUCAAAAAUUUAAAAGUAAACGGCAGUAAAAACAAACGGCGUCGCUAUAUUAAAGUGUAAACCUGUCAGCUAAAAUAUAAAAUUCAAAAGACAAAGUGUAAAAUGUGUAACAUAUACCGGUAUCUAAACAGAAUAAGGUAAGCCACGCUGCUAUUAAUACUGUGUAUGUCGUAUGAUUUUACCAUAUGCUCACUAUAGUAUAGAGUAUAAAACCUUGGCUGUCCUUGCCUUGUUUACAUUUUGCUGGCUGGCAAAUUACAAUUAUAUAAAAUAAUACAUCCCCCAUUGUGUUUACACCAUAAUAAUUCGAAGCUCUCUUUGGAGCUUUCAAAAUACAUUUGCCUGCCAAUGUGUAUAACAUGGGAAGGGGUCUAUUUACUUUUUUUCUAAGUCAUUUUAUAUUAUAUUUAAUACUGCAAUAUUUAUACUGUAGUACAGCCAUACAAGUGCAAAGCAUAAUAUAAUUUUGAACGGUCUUCCUCUACUGUUAAAUUCCAGACAAAGUCGAAGGGCCUUCGCUCAAAAUGCCGACGCUUUACUUGUAUUUCCAAGCAGUUGAAUCGCUAUCCAUCUAUUGUAAGAAAUUUAUUGAAAGCAUGUAGCGCAGGCUAUCGUAAAUAUGCAACGAAUAAUAUUUCAUGCCAUCAUUUAUGUAAAACUAUUUCAAGUGGGCAACUGUUAAUAUGGAAUAUUAACUAAGCAGGCGUAAUCAAUUUUACUAGGGCUUUCGGACAGGCUCUUCUUAUAAAAGAGCCGGCUAUGCUGGCUAGGCAUGCUCACACAUAAAUUUUUUUAAUUUUGGCUCUCUGAAAUGCCAUUUCCCAAAAAAGAAAUGCCAGUAAAAACAAUGAAGUUCAUGUUUUUGAAUUUUUAAAGUGUUCCUACGAGAGGUUGCUAAGCCUAAGGUGUGGUCCUAGAGUGUGGUCUUAGGGUGUAGUUUCGCAUGGUUUUUCAAUUUUUGAAAAAUUUCCUGUGUUCCCCCUUCGCUAAGCGAAGUGUACCAUGUGGUCCUCUGUUUGCCUUUGAUCACAAUUUUUUAAAACAUGUUUUUCAUUCGAAAGUAAUUCUUUUGAUGCGAAAAAAGGUUUUCGACAACUUUCAGAAAGUUUGGAGUAGAGGACUCAGGACUGAAAUAGACAUGAUGGAUAUUUGUACAAGUCUACAACCUAAAGCCCUGUUUACACUAUACCGGCUUGCUAUCGGAGUGGGUCAAAUUGUGUAGGUCUCAAAAGGCUGUGAAGAUUUUUAAUCUCAGAGACCCAAAUAAACAUGCCAGUUAUGUCAAACUAAUAAGCAUUUGCUACUAACCAUUGCUCCGAAACGGCAAAAGAAGAUGUUGUGACCAGCGAAUCCGGUAUAGUGUAAACAGGGCCUAAUAUUAAUAAUACAUAGAAUUUCUACAGUGCAAAGUUUACAGUACUCUGAAACCAUUACCCCCCCCCCCCCCGUAAUCGUCACAAAAAAGAAGGGAUUGGGAUUUUUGUAAUAAUUGGAGGUGUACUGAAAAGGGUGGGUUGAUAUAUAGAGGGUGAGCAAACAUGAAUCCAAAAACACAAAACAUGAGCAUUUUAGGAGGUUUUUAGAGCACACAUAAUUUCCUUGCUGCAGGGAAAAAUCUUUGCAAGUGGAAGCACUCAUCAGUCAUUUUAAUAGUCAUGAAUGUGUUUUGAUAUGGUUUUGAAAAUCACAGGAAGGAUAUUUCUUGUUUGAAAGUGGUAGCACCAGGGAAUUUCGCGGGAAAGAUUGAAGCUUGUGCCCUCGUGCUUUCAGAGACAAUUUUCGUCCUAAAAACUUUCAUUAUUUUUGUAGAAUCUUAUCCCAAUAUAACCUCUGAUCUUUGCCAAAUGGACAACAGCGUGUUUGUAACUCCUUAAAGAAGGUUGUGGAUUGCAUUUGUGGUCGAGAUUCGAUGUUUUUCAAGCUUGACUUGGCUCAAACUUUAUGUUGUAUUUCAUACUCCAUCUUGGUAUAAAUGUUGCAUCAGCUGUAUCGAUUAGUUUAGAAAUUGCUUGGAAUAUCUCUGGUUUGUCUUGUUUAAGGUAUUUGGGAUUGUUUUUGUGUUGAUAUAUUGAGAUUUGAUUGAUUAUUGAUUUUAAAAUAUUCAGAGAUUUAUACAAACUUACAAAGGCAUGAAUUUGUCUAUUUAGUAAAAAUGCUUGAAACAUACAUAAAUGUGUUCUUACAUUUGUACUGUUCUUUUUUGAAAACAACCGAACCGAGGUUUUUUGUUCCAAAAGAACCGAAAACGGAACCGAGAUAAAAUUUUUGGAACCGCACAGCUCUAAUGCUCUUGGGGGGGGGGGGUAUUUAUGACUUUUGGAAUGUCACCCUACUUUAGUAUUUUACUCUGUCAAACGCCAGACGAUUUUACUCGUCAAGGGGAGCGCGCUGGCGCUUAAUGGGUUAACUGGCCUAUCUGCCCAUGUGUCUAGUUAACCCAUUGAGUCGCAUUGCGCCCUGAUGCACCCUAUUUUAGUAUUUUACGCUGUCUAACGCCAGACUAUUUUACUCUGUCUAACGCCAGACGAUUUUAUUUGUCAAGGGGAGAACGCUGGCGCUUAAUGGGUUAAUUAUUAUUUUGAUAUCUGGAAUUUUUUGGCAUAUAGGCCUUACUGCCCUGCCCCCCUGGUGAAAAAAUCCUGUGUACAGCCCUGUCCUGUUGAGAUGUGUAUUCAACUGGCACAUUUAGAAUUUUUUUUAAGAAAACUCAGGCAAAUGUUCCUGAUCGGCCAGAUUUUUAUUUGAUCAGCAAAAAGUCGUGAUCGGCGAUCACCAUGAUUGGGAACAUUAUUUCAAGCCCUGGUAGUUUAAUGUGUUAACAAGAUACAUUGCCAAAAUAGUUUGGUUAACCUAUUAAUGCACAAGACUUUCCUUUUGAUUGAGUAAAAUUAUCGGACGUUUCAGUUCCUUUGUAGCUUAAUGAAUUAAUCCUAUUUUUCUUAGAGAACAGCAAUUCAACUAUCUGGCUUGACAAAGAAACUAUACAUCCGCAAUAUGUACAAGGACAUCGGAUGUAUCAUUGGGAAUUUUUCUCCGAGAUUAUGCAGUCAUGUUGGCACGUGUUAGUUCAGUUGGAUUUGCAGAGGAAGUGUUUGAAAGGUUAGUUUUUAAGUGUGUUUCACUCUACAUUAUUGUGAAAUGUUUACUUCCAUUGCCCUGCUGUGCUUUUGGAGUUAUUCUUGAAAAGUUGAAUAAAUUGUUGCAAAUAGUCAAGAAAAUUUGUUUUCUUUUGAAACAAUGAAUUUCAUCUUAUAGUAUGUUAUGAAAAUUUAAUUUAAAAACUUAUUAGUUGGUAGACUUGUCUGAUAUGUCUUGAUUUGCACUCAUUUUAAAUAGGUUAAAUAAAGGCCAUAUUUUGUUUACAUUUUUGCACGUUUUUAAAGUCAUGUGCAACCUUGUACCGACAAGCGUCUUUUCUCCCCAAAUGGAAAGACCCUGGCUAAGAGAUUGUAUUACCCGCACACAGACCAAAUAUUGCAAAUUGUUUCAAAAACUUGCUUAUUGUUUGAUCAGUCCCAUCGCAUUUCAGGGCAAGUUGGAACAAGUUUACUUGCGAUGAUUUGUGUUCUCGUUUGAUCAGGGCUUGACUCCAAAGGUCAAUAACAUUUUUAUAUUUAAUUUCAUUUCAACUAUAUUAGAGUGAGAUUGAUAUACCGGAAAUAUCCAGUAUACUGGUAUUUGUUUAGAUACCGGUUUGGCGAUAUUGACAAUUUAAAAAUACCAAUAUAUCAACAUUUCGGUACUUUGCUGCCUAAUACCAAAAUGAAAUGCUAUUUCAAGUCAAGCUUGCUUACAAUCAUGUUUAGAAAGUAAAGUUCAAUACUCACAGAUUCAACACUUCGACGCCCAAUCGACGGCCUACUAAUAAUUGCCGCUUAGUGCCGUUAACAUAGCUUGAUAAUGCAAAUCUUGUGACAUUUGCACUAAUAACAGUAUGUGCCACAUUAAUAUUUUGUCAAAACUUGAUUUUCCUUGACGGUCAGCAUUUUAGUUUGGCUUUAAAAAAACAACUUUAAAAAUACUGGUAUUCUGAUGGUGGUAUAUCAGUAUUCUCUAUUUGCGAUAUUGAUCCACUCUAAACUAUAUUUCGGUCAUCAUCAGGAUAAACUAGUUAGGUUACACAAUGUAUUACUGCCAAUGCAAUGGAAGUGUUGAUAAAAUAUUGCACCAAUUCCUUUCCUCAAGUUGAUCAAUUCAUUUGAUAGAAAAUUGAUCAACUUCCUGUUACUUUUUGAUGAGCCAAUUAGAUUUCGUUUCAGAACCGAUUGACCAAUAGGAAACGCACAGGAAGUAAAAAGAAAUUUGAAUUUGUAUGAAUUGAUCAACUUGAGGAAAGGAAUUCAAGGAAUAUUUUAUCAACACUUCCCAGUGGUGUAACUUUACUUUUUUGACCACUUGCCCUCAGGGCAAGUUGGACAUGAAAAUUAGUUGCCCUGAAUAAAAUUCACUUGCAUGCCACAGACAAUGGCCACUUGUAGGGGGUAUAAAUUAAGGGGACAACAGUGUCGACCCGUUCUCCCACCGCUCUAUAUGGCUUGUUAUACUGCCUCCCUCAGAUCUAACUUCGGAGGAAAAAACAAAAAACAAAAUUUGAAUCAGUACAUGCACUAUAAAAAAUUUCUGUGACAAUGAAAACUUAAAAUGCCCAGCUUUUUGUGGCAAGGCAACUUGCCCAAUCGGGCAUGCAAUAUAAAACGUUUACUUGCCCGUCAUGAUAUUCACUUGCCCCGGGCAAGUGUAUUCACUUGCCCCGGGCAAGUGUUAAGUUACACCUCUGACUUCUAUUGCAUCAACGGUAAUAUAAAAAUAGUAUUGAUCAUUGGUGUUACACUUGUUUUGUAUUUUGUUAAAAUACUCAGAGCUCUAUAAUAUUGAGAUUUUCAAUCCAUUAUUUGGUUAAGCAACACUGUCCUUUUGAUGAGUAAAAUCAUCUGGCAUUAGACUAGCCUGCUCACAGAUGUUGUAGUUCUUAUGCCAAGCGACGAAAUACUCCCGCCUGCUUACUGAGCUGCAUAUUCAAUUCCCUUUGUUUUAGGAGCCAAUCAUCUGGCAGUGUUCAAAAAAGUUAGAGCCAAUUGGAAGCCGCGUUAUUGAGACAUUAGCUACUGGGGAAAGCCCCUUGCACAUGUAUUGGAAUAUAUUGUUUGGGUUGAAACUUGAAAUUUGUUUACUUGUGUGGAUAUAUUUUGGAAACUAUAGCGUUGAACUUCACAAUGUUUAUGUAGAAUAAUAUUGUGAUCUUCUUCUCGCAUGUUCAGCAAACAAUCUGUGUAUAUAAAGUGCUAAAACAAUGCAGUAGGCAAAAUUUAAAUUUUUGUUAACAAUGACAAACAAUCAGUCGGGAAACUCGAGUGUAUGAGGAUAUGUCCAAAUGUUGCUCUUGAUACUUCCUAUAUGCCAUGACUUCGACGAAAACUUCUAAAAGAUUAAGCUCUCAUUGUCAUGUAGAAAAGUAUAGCCAAGUUAGAGUAUAAACGUUUUGAAGUUUGGGCGAAUUGGAAAAUUCAUCACAGCACAAUUUUAAUACAAGUUUCUCAGGGUUUGUGUUGUGUUUACAGCAAUUUAGUUUACUUUGAAGCUAAUAUUUCGCUUUCUAAGCCACAGUAUAAAAUAAAAUUUUCUGUCUUCCGACUUCUGUUGUCUUAUAAAGAUAAACCGUUAAAAUUUCGGCGAAAUAUAUUUCGCAUAUGCUGUCUGACUAAGAUAUUUCAUACAGUAUAAAUAUGCCAAUCCUGUCCGCAUUUUAAAUAUAACCGAACAUCAUUAAUGGUGCAUUUUAUUACCUGGACAAGUAUCAAUAUCUUUAAAUUCAAUUUAUAUGCAAUUUUGACCAAAAUUCAAGCAACGACUGCUUUCAAAAUAUAUAUUUAUAUUUAUUCCGCUCCUAAAUCAACUGACAUCACUUUCCAGAAUUUGGAAGGUAAAUUCUGAUUGGUCAACAUAGUGGAAUUCAGUUUGGCGCUUGGGUAAGCAGACGGUAGUAUUUCGUCGCUUGGUGUAAGAACUACAAUGUCUGUGAGCAGGCUAGCAUUAGACAGGGUGAAAUAAAAAAAAAGUAGGGCACAUUUUGGUGCAUUAAUGUGUUAACAAGAUACAUUGCCACUUUUCUUUUGACGAGUAAAAUGAUCAGAUGUUUGGUUACUUUGCAGCUUAAUGAGUUAAUCUUAUUUUUCUUAGAUAACACCAAUUCAACUCUAUGGCUUGACAAAGAAACUAUACACCAGCAAUGUGUACAAGGACAUUGAAUGUAUCAUUGGAAAUUUUUCUCAGAGAUUAUGCAGUCAUGCGUUAAUGUGUUAGUUCAGUUGGAUUUGCAGAGGAACUACUUGAAAAGGUCAGUUUCAAAAUCUCACUUUUGAAAUUUUUCAAAAAUGUCAUGUCCCAAAUGAACAAUAUUUUUCAAUUGAUGUUUUUAUCACUUGAAAUUGUUUUGAUGAAAAUAAUGGUUUGGACAAUUUUCAGAAAGUUUAUAGUUAGACUUGCUGCAAGUCUCUCUUUCAUUGCCAUAUAGUAUUGAUCCACUAUAGUGUACAUUACAUGACGUAGCACAGAGAGCCGGAGCGAGAAAGAGAGACUUGUCAACUUAAGAAAAUCUCGGUAAAAAACAGAACCUAAAAUGCAAGACUUGCUUUAAUUGUUUUUCUUCAGUUUCUUUCUGUAUUAUUUACUAUGAUGGAUUGACAUUAUUUACACUGUGCUAGAUCAAUACAUAUAAACACUGACAGAAAACAAUUAAAGCAAGUCUUGCAUAUCCUGUGGUCUCCACUUUGAUUAGUGUAGGAUUGCCUGUGCCCCCAUCACCUUUCAAUUAGACCAAAAUAUUCCAAUUCAUAUUUUUAUCGCGAUAAAGUAAUUGUUUUUAUUAACCCAUUGAGUCGCAUUGCGCCCUGAUGCACCCUACUUUAUUAUUUUACUCUGUCUAACGCCAGAUUAUUUUACUCUAAUAACGCCAGACGAUUUUACUCGUCAAUGGGAGAGCGCUUGUUAAAUGAAAAUAGUUUAAAAGAACAGUUUUCAACAAUUUUUGGAACGUUUUGAAUCUCUUGGUGCACUUUCAAAAAUUUCCUGUGGCUGCCUUUGGUUAGGCUAGGGUUGCAUCUGAUACCGUUUGCAAAUGACCAACAUUUUUCAAUUCAUGUUUUAUCAUUCGAAUGUAAUAGUUUUGUUUGAUUGAUUGAUUGAUUGAUUGAUUGAUUGAUUGAUUGAUUGAUUGAUUGAUUGAAGGAAAGGUUGAAAAAUUUACUUGGCCAUGGUGGGAAUCGAACCUACAAGAAUACCACCCAAUGCUGUGCCAACUGAGCUAUGUCUGGUCACCUGACCACAUAGGGCUAGUAUUCCAAAGGUGGUUGGUUCGAUUCCCACCUUGGCCAGGCAUAUUAUUCAAGCUUCGCCGGUGUGGAUAUCCACUCAGAGUAACAUCACAAACAUAUUCAACUGAGUACACAACACCAUCACAGAAAAAAUCACAUCAAAGUAAUUGUUUUGAUUACAAGAACAGUUUUUGACAAUUUUCAGAAGGUUCACAUUAUUUUCUAGUUAUAGACUUAUAAUUGGUUGAAUCAAGCAGCAAGAAUAAUAAUCUUAACUAUGAGAUCAUGUACACAACAUAGUUUCAGUUAUUUUAAAACCGUCUUUGAACUUUUUGUUCAAGCCUAGUGGCUUAUUUCAGUACAUGAAAAUCAUCCCACAUUUCAUCCUGUCCUGACAAACUGUGAUCAUGUGAACAGCACUGUUAGCCAUUAAGUUGAUUUGCACUGUAAUUUACAUACUAUACCAACUCUGUCUAACAUCAGACAAUGUUAUCAAUAAGGGGGAGCACUGCCAGUUAAUGAGUAAUUAGACGCAGGGACAGUAGUCUCAUAACGAAGCAUAAAAUCAUCUUGCGUUGGACAGUAAAAUACUCGAGUAGAGCAUGGUUCAUGGUACAGCACAACAAAAUGGUUUAAAUUUUAUAUCUGAAUUAACCCAUUGAGUUGCAUUGCACCCUGAUGCACCCUACUUUAGUAUUUUACUCUGUCUAACACCAGACUAUUUUACUCUGUCUAACGCCAGACAAUUUUACUCGUCAAGGGGAGAGCGCUAGCGCUUAAUGGCAGGGUUCGUAGCAGUCUUUGAAAUCCUUGAAAGUCUUUAAAUUGGAAUGCAGGUCUUUGAGGUCUGUGAAAAAGCAAAGAAAGUCUUUAAAAGUCUUUAAAUUAUUUAGUGAGGAAUUAAUUAUACGAUUUCCUAGCUAAUAAAAUAGAUUGAUUGAAUCGCAAAUAUCGACGAAAAUGCGCAUUUUAGGAUGUGAUUUGACCCGUCAAAUACGGACUAAUUACUGGGUAAAAAUGGUGCUUACACUCGCAAUUUUUCGACAGCUGAUUGCUCUCAAAGGUCUUUGAAAAUAGGCAGAAAAAAUCUUUGAAAGUCUUUGAACUUUUUUGGUCUUGGAGACUACGAACCCUGAAUGUGUUAACUGGCCUAUCUGCCCAUGUGUCUAGUUAACUGGCCUAUCUGCUCAUGUGUCCAGUUAACUGGCCUAUCAGCCCAUGUGUCUAGUUAACCCAUUGAGUUGCAUUGCACCCUGAUGCACCCUACUUUAGUAUUUUACUCUGUCUAACGCCAGAGUAUUUUACUCUGGCGUAUUUUACUCUGUCUAACGCCAGACGAUUUUACUCGUCAAGGGGAGAGCGCUGGCACUUAAUGGGUUAAUUAUUGUUUUGCUUUGUUUUACAGAUCAUUACUGAACAUGGUGAUGGAAUAGUAAUUUAUAAAAUAUCAUGUUACCAAGAUAAGACACCUCAAAGAGCAAUACGUGGGGAAAUAUCUUUAUUUUCCAACAAUGACAAUACAUCAAAGACAGUAAGAUCACAAAUCCAUGAAAUUAAAGAAAAUGUAUCAAAUGACAAGGACGAUGAUGAUGAAAUUGGAUGCAUCGGACAAAAUGAAUGGAUCGAAUGUUAUGGUCAGUAAUGGAUAUUUGUGGCUAUACUAAAUGGAUACAAAGAGACUAUGAUGGAUAAAUAUGGCCCUGUAAUGGUAUUCAGUUAAUGGAUAUACAAAGGCCACAGAAAUGUCUACUUUCAGGUGAUGUUUUUUCUUGUUUGCCUGCGAACAUGCUGUAUAUGUGUAGAUACAUGUACCCAGGCCAUUGUUUGUUUUAUUGUUCUGGAUACAAUGAAGUCGGUGAAGGCUAUUUCAGAUACGGUAGAGCACCUUGUCCCCAGCCCUUUAUUGGUGCGGCUGUUAAUUCAAUAUGGCGCCAAGCUAAGGAGUGCAGUUUAAUGCAGUUUAUAUUCUAUAUUUUCUACUGUUUUGGUUGGUAGAACUUAUAUUGUGAAAUGUCAGAUAUGUUACAAUUUAUCUGAAAAAAUAUUUUCUAAUAGAAUUUUUCUCUAACAUAAUUUAACAUAGUUUUAAAGUUGAUGUAUACUGCAUGAGUGAGUGAUGGUUGUGACUGAGUUGUUUAUUUAACAAUGAAAUUUAUACUAUUUUACUGAAGUUGGCAAGCUAUGAGCGGCUGAGCCUACAAUUAAAUAUUACUUGGCAUGAUGAAGAUGAUAUUAUUUCAUUUAUUUGAGCAGGACGAUACAUACCAAUGUGGUCACAAUGCAUUAUAAAUUGACAACAUUUUAUUAGCAGUUUUAGAAAGCUAAUCUGUCAGACGAUAUUUUAUCAUUAUUAUUAUAUUUAAAUUUGUCCAGGAUACCCACGUCACCGAAGUGUUUUUCAGUGGGGUCCUGCAUUAUAAAUUUCAACUUCAAUACAUAUAUAUUACAAAAUAACAUGCAAAUCUACAAUAACAUGCGUGUUAACAUACUUAUACUAUAUAUAGCCUAUAUACAAAACGUUAUGGAACUAAGACUAUGUUUACUAUGUAAUUCUCGCCUACAUAGCGUUUUUUUAAUACAGCUUUAAACUUGUAUAACGAGUCAGGGUUUCUAAUGUCUGGUUCUAAGUUGUUAAAGUCGUUUGAUGCUUCAUAGCUUGGUAUGCUUUACUUAGCUUAGCUUAUCAUAUAAAUAAUAAGAAAUAAAAUGCUAUAACUGAAUAGUGGAAAAUAUUGUUUCCAUUUUCAAAUUAUAAUGUCUUAUAGGCAGGUGUGUAUAGCAACGGGAGGGGGGUGUAAUGGACUAAAGAUACCACCACACUCACAAACUUUAUUAAUGUGAGAAUGCCAUGCUGACUUUGUGAAAAAAUAUGAUUCUGGCAAACAUUGACCAACAUGGGAAAAUUUAUUUAAACAACAUACAACUUCAACAAAUUGUGAUACAGCCAAGCAUAUCGUGUAUAUGAAGCUUGUUAAGAAAAUUCUCGCACCCAUAAAUGACAAGUGAGCACACUGUUGAAAAACUACAGUAUGCGAGUUUGACAAUAAGAAUAAGGUUUGUAACAAACAAUAUUCACGAUUAAACAAGUUAUUGUCACAUAAAAAACACAUAAUAGAAUCAACCCAAGUCAUAUCAUGUCUGUGCAGAAUUCAAAUAUUCAAGUAUUUCAGCAAGACAUAAAAGAACACAUAGUGGGAUACAAACUUUAUGAAUGUCAUGUUAGUUAUUAACAUGCAGUUAUCAUAGGGUGUAGUGGACUAAGCCAUCCCUUUAAUGUGUUUCUUUAGUUGGCAGAGGAGUUCUAAGGCCCCUUCAUAUUUUUUGAAGAUUACAUGACAUACGAUAUUAAUUUUACUCAUUGCAUAUGUAAAGUUACAGAUGAGCCAUGUAUUCCAUAGAAUGCAAAGUAUUUAACUAUUUCUGGGUUAAGUUAGAUUUUAAGUUCAAUGAUUUAGAGUAAAGUAUUGUUUUUAAGAAGUUAUAUAAAACUGAUGAUAUAAUCAAUCUUUUUGGGUCAAGAAUAACCUGCAAAAAUAGCUCUUUCCAUUUAUUUCAUAAAAGUGCAAACAUUGAUAUUUACACACUAGGGACAUAUGGUGUACUCAUUCCCAAGAAUCUUAAUUAUGGGUAGAAUGAAGUGUCAGUGCUCCCCAUGAAAGGCCCCUUUGAUCUACUGUUCAGAGUGUCAACAGGGAGAGCUUUCCAAAUGCUACAUAAAGAUUAGCCCAGGGACCUUCCUUGACGAGGCACACCCCCUGGCUCUUGCCGGGCACAGCUCUUAGGGGUUAUGCUACUGAGGAAUGAUGAUUUUUACCUUGCUGACAUUUUUUCACACACAACACAAGGCCAUCGGCCCUCCCCCCUAGGGUACUAACCCUAUUGCACCGCUAUAAAGCAAAAUGGACCUUUGUAUGCCCCGGUUAAAAUGUAAGCAUGAACUACUAAGUAUGUUAGCUUAUGAAACGAGACAAUUCAAAGGAAAGUAGUGAAAGAGGACACGUUGGUUGUGAAUUUGCCAUCCUCACGAUAAUGUUCACCCAGUAUGAAAUGAAAAGGCAGUGCACAAACUGUGCAGAGUCCAUUUUGCAUGUUAGCACACAAUUUGAUUGUAUAUUGUUGAAUUAUAAUCGUAUCUUUUUGGUAGUGGUAGAUUCAGCCAAGUUGUUUCAGGGGCAUGCUAGACAGGUGAGGACUCUGAACCUGGCACUGGGCUAGAUACUUGGGGUAUUAAACUCAAUUACACAUACCACAUGAAAAUAUAUUUGUAGUACUAAUUAUAUGCAAUAUCUCAAAUACUCAGAGGUAUGAUAAUGACUAUGACUACUUAGUGCUAAUUAAACAGUGCAAUGUUGAACGGUCUAUGCCGGGAUAGAUAUCAAGAUAACUGCAGAUUUCGAGGGAUACAACUACCUGAAUAUUCAAGCGGAACUUCAAUCAAAAAGUC
rnacentral:lncRNA from 1 species